CCAAGGGGACGCUUGGGGAGUGGACGUAGGUGCUAAGGAGAGCACCGAACCACUAUAUAUUGUUGUGUUUGUGUUGUGCUUGUGUUUUCAUUUACUCUUGCAUCAUCUUCUACUCUUGCGUUAGUUUAACUCACUCAAAUAGCUUAAGAAAGCAUCCACCGCACUUAAUUAAGAAAACGUUUAAAGCACCAAAAUUUAGAAGAAACCAAUUCACCCCCCCCUCUUGGCUUGUCACCUUGGGCAACAGCUUCUUCUUUACUUGACCCUCUUCUGGUUUUGCACGAAGUAGUGGAUCACGGAGGCAGCACACGGAUGGACAGGAAGCUUUGGGAUUCACUUGGAUGCUCUUCUUCUCUCUAUUUUACUUUGAAUGGCCCUUUUGUGCUUAUGGGAGAUUUUCCUUGUAAUCUCUUUGAAAUCUCUUCCCUAAAUGUUCUCUCCCACUUCCAUCCUCUCUAUCCUAGCUCUCCUCUUGAUUUUAUAGCUUUAGAUGUCGUGGAAAUAGAAAUCUAGCCGUUAGAGACAAAAAUAGAGCCGUUGUGCACAGUCUGUAACUCCUGACAAAGUUNNN
rnacentral:lncRNA from 1 species